GGCCUGGUAGUGCAGCGGUUAGCAUACCACAUCUGUAAUGUGGAGAUGGGGGUUCGACUCCUCCCUAGGCCA
rnacentral:tRNA from 1 species